UACGUAGGGUGCGAGCGUUGUCCGGAAUUAUUGGGCGUAAAGGGCUCGUAGGCGGUUUGUCGCGUCGGGAGUGAAAACACUGGGCUUAACUCAGUGCUUGCUUCCGAUACGGGCAGACUAGAGGUAUGCAGGGGAGAACGGAAUUCCUGGUGUAGCGGUGAAAUGCGCAGAUAUCAGGAGGAACACCGGUGGCGAAGGCGGUUCUCUGGGCAUUACCUGACGCUGAGGAGCGAAAGCUAGGGGAGCAAACGGG
rnacentral:rRNA from 1 species